UCUCCGAGCAUGCGCGUGCAUGUGUGUGUGUGUGUGCUGACAGCAGAUAUAACUUGAACAACUUAUGGCACAGGCUUCAUUUUUGCCAUCUUACACAAAUUACCGGUAAACCUUUGUUUGAUAUAUUUAUUUUUUUCAUCUUCCAGAUCCGUAUAUAUUGGCUUGAUAAAAAUCCUUAAUUUGCAUCCUUUCUCUUAUGUUUAAAAGAUUUUGCAUUAUUGCCAUUUGGCUUCUUCAGUUUCGUGAAUUUGCUUGUUUCAUCUGGCCAUGGUCAGGCUUGUUCUGUUAAUUUGUUUGUUAUGUUUGAGAAUGGCGUUUUGGAGACCGAGCUCCAUGGAGGCCUUUAUUUUUGAAAAAUUCAAAUUCAAACUUUUAUAUUUCAAAAAAUUCUGAAAAAAAAUAUGCGUGUAUGUAAGGAUGUAACCCACAUGUGUGUAAAAUUUCAUGAUGAAAUACAUUGAAAUGCAACCUGUGCAAAAAAGACAAAUUCAUGGCCUGGGAGGAUGAAUAGUAUCAUGUGUUAAAUAGCCCCAGAUUUGUCUUUUUUGCACAGCCCUCAUUUCAACGUAUCUUUCCCUGAAAAUUUACGCACAUGUGUGUUAUGCCUUCAUGUAUAUCUGUACCCUUUUUUAGAAUUUUUUGAAAUGUAAAAAUAUGAAUUUCAAUGAAAUUUGAAUUUUGAAUCUGGAGGCCUCCAGUGAGCUCGGUCACCAAAUGCAGUUUCCGGUUAUGUUUCUAGUAUCUAUUUUGUUGUUGUUUGCCUUCGCUUUGGCUAUUUCAUCUGAUCUAUCUUAGUAUAGUUUUGUUUUCUUGGUUUAUUUUGUAGUACAGUUUAUUGCUAUAUAUUUUGCUUGAUACUUGGAUUUGCCCCUGGUCCAAUGAUGAUUACGAUGGAGCCCUCAUGCAUGCAUGGAUGGAUCGGCUUAGAUUUGAGCUCCAAAGAGGGCCAGCUGUUGCAUUCGCAAAGUUGAAGCCCCUGAAAAUGGCUAAUGCAGCACCGUCUUCUUUGUUCUGGGCGCUGAGGCAUGUCUUGGAUCAACCUUUGCUUCUGCUGAAGCUUUGGCACUGACGCCUGGCAAAAGGUGUUCUUCUUCUGCUGCUGCUUCUGCUUCUUCUUCUUCUUCUUCUUCACUCGGUUGUUGUUGUCUCUGGCAACUCAUGUGCUAUACCGGUGAACCAAGGCACGCCCCAGUGCCAGCUUUGAAGCCUGCUGCAUUAGCCUGUGAUGAAACUGAAAUCUGAGGGUCAUAUUGUAAUACAACCUUGUUGGUAACUCUUUUGCAUGUGCUCACUGCCUAACAGCCAGUGUGCACAUUGUGCUGUCAUGGUUUGACACUGUCUUCAGAUGCCCGAUGAUGUAAUUGGGCAGGCAUGCUUUGCUUCUCUUAUUUCAUUAUCUUGGUAUAUUAGGUAAGGUUUAGGCUAGUGUUUUGAAUAAAGGUAUGUGCUUCAUGGUGCUGAAGUGUAUAUGUGGAUUGCUAGCUCUUUCCAUCAGUUUGGACUUUUGGUUGCGUUGGCUAGUGCUGGAUCAUUGUUCCACAAUCAAUGACACAAAAUCGCUCACAUCCCCCUGCCAUGUCGUCAGAUAUGAUGGCACAGGAUCACACUCUGACAGAUGAUACAAUUUCAUCUGAGGAUAAUUCAUACAUUCAUAUAUUUAUUUCUUUGUGCUAUCAUUAUUGUUGUGUCACGUGUCAUAUGUAUCAUAAACAUUCCAUUUGCCAUUCUCAGAUGCAGGUUGGUUCUUCUAUAGUAAACGCAACAUCCGUAUUUAGUCAUCAAAUGUCUUGUCUAUGUUUGUUGAUUUCUUUCUGCUUUGUUACCAGUUUGUGUUCUCUUUCCUAUGUCUCUUUGCGAAACCUCAUAUUACACCUUGACCCAACUAAUAUCCCAAUUGUGGGCAUGUGGCUUGCACUUAAUUUCUAUUGUGACAGAAUUGUGAUGUUUCAUUUUGUUCUUGAUGGUGGAUAGAAUCAUGUAAGUGUUGGCUUCUAUAAUGCAUCGCCUAAUGAUGAAAAAUGAAUGUAGAGAUGGCACUUGGACAUGAUCCUGUCCUCCUCCCCCUCUCUCCCUCUCCCUCUCUCUGCAUGGAUGCGUAAUGGCACAUGCAGCAGCAGCAGCAGUUCACACCAGAUCAAUCUUCACAUGCCUUAUGGACAAAAGGGAGAUCAUAUCUUGUGCCAUCAAUGAAUGCUACAUCUAUGGCAUCUGAGGGCAUGAUGUUCUUUUUUUUUCAUACCUUACACGGAUUACCGGCAAAAUUUGCAUGGAUAUAUUUAUUUUCAGUUCCAUCUUCCAGAUUGUCUCUGUUGGCUUGAUGGGGACCCUUCAGUAGCAUUGAUGUUCAGAUUUUUCAUCAUUUUUGCUUUGCUUCAUCAUUUUUGUGCAUUUUGCUAUGGUUUCAUCUGAUUAUGAUUAAGUUUGCUCUGUUGAUUUUCAUUACUUUUGUAGUACUCCCUCCGUCCCAAAAUAAGUGUCACUGAUUUAGUACAAAGUACAAAGCGGUACUAAAUCAGUGACACUUAUUUUGAGACGGAAGGUGUACCUUUUUAGCUUGUUUUGCUUUUCACCUCGGCAGAGGAAAAUACUUGGGUGUUUCAUGAUUUAUCACGAAGGAUCACUGUUGUAAAUCAGCUUGCAUUUGAGUUACAAUCACGAAGUGGUAGCUCUUUACCAGGGUGAAGGUUUUGAAGUGGCCAAAGUAUUGUUGGUUUCUCUUUGUAAUGUUUAUUAGUGGUUUUAAAUUAGUAUUUUGGUUAUGAUUUGUGCUUUAAAAUUUUCCCUGAAGUGCUGAUACCAGUUCUAUACACCAAGAUUAGUCUUUUGGAUGGUGGUUAGAAGUAUAGAAAUGCCUUCUACAGUGUAUUGCCCCAUAAUGAAAACUAAUAUGUAGAGAUGGUGCAUGACAUGGUCCCUCCCUCUCUCUCGCUGUAAUAAAUUGGAUAAAAUUUAUUUUAAGGUGGCUAAUCUAAAUAUAGGAGGAUGUGGUUGCAGACCUUGGGAUGUUUUCCAGUUUUUUGUUUGAAAACAAUUGAUCUGCUGUUAAUUUGAAGAUGACAAGGAAAUAAGGAGGAAAAUUAAAAGGCUUCUUUGGUGGAGGGGUAGGAGAAGCCCGGAUCAGCCAAGGAAGCAGGUGAGCUGCCGUGUAUGGAUCGGUCGAGGAAGGAGACGUCUUGUGCUGUAAGGGUGUCUGCAGACUGAUUUUUUCUUGAUUUGAUGUAUUGUCAUUGCAUAUAUCAUUAUCUCCAAGUCUGAUUAGUGUUUGAUUUUGCACAGAUUUGUUUGGGAUCUGCUUUGAAGCAAGCAUCGUUCCUUGUGGUCACAGGUAAAUUUGCAGUCCUGUCUAUUAAUGGUUGGUUCAGAACAUUAGGAGCACAGUGACAAGUUUCAAUUUUAAGGAUUUAUAAUACCCCAUUUCCGCUGGUUUUUCCCCAAUAUGUCAAUGUGUGAUGUGUCUAAGCCUCAUUAUUUCCUUUUGUUAUAGUCAUUAUUCAGCAUGAAGGGGAGCCUUGGCGCAGUGGUAAAGCUGCUGCCUUGUGACCAUGAGGUCAUGGGUUCAAGUCCUGGAAACAGCCUCUUACAGAAAUGUAGGGAAAGGCUGCGUACUAUAGACCCAAAGUGGUUGGACCCUUCCCUGGACCCUGCGCAAGCGGGAGCUACAUGCACCAGGUUGCCCUUUUAUAGUCAUUAUUCAGCAUGGAGCAGAACUGCACACUUAUCAAUGUAUAAUUUAUAUAAAGCUUGAUAUAUUGCAGAGUUGUGCUUCCAUCAUUUCCUAAUAUAUACUGAAAUUAAAAGUUCAGCUUCUAUUUUCCUUAAUAUGCUUUAAUUCCUAUGAUCAACGGCUACAGAUUUCUUCUAACACUGUAAUGCUAGGCUGGAGUUUGAGGUUUUCACUACUGCUCUCAUCUUCGAUGCCAUCUCAAACUACUAAAAUUUUAAAAUUAUGUUUCAUUUUCACCAGGAUUAGGUUCUUUUAUCCAUGUGGUGGUAUGGUUCAAAUGCGAGAACAGAUGCCAUGUAUUGCCAUGACAUACAUUGAACUUUGAGUUUUCGUCAAUGAUGUUGUUAUUUUUAUCUAUUUGUAGCGUCAUAUAAAUGAGUUUUGACAUGGUCAUUUUACAGGACGAGUAAACAAUGGUUGGUCGGUAGAAGCUUCACUUGCGACUGUGUGCCUUUCUGCCUUAAGAAGUUCUUUUCAUUGUCGAAGAACAACAUAAUGUUUAUGGGCCAGUUUUCAUGUGGUAUAGAAAUAUCAGUGAAUGUAGCAGAUAUUUUGCAUGAUCUUUAAAGCAUAGUCUCACACGGAGAACAGUCACAUUGUGUCAUAAGGUGAUAACUAUAAAGUCCACACCAUGUGAAAGACAUUAUAAAUUUAUGCAUUCAUAGGCUGUUUUCUACUAUGAGCACUUGAUUGUCUUGUGACUGUAGCCAUGGAUAAAGUAGAACUUAAUUUGAUGUGUAAUAUCAUGACGUGAGAUGUAGUUCUCCUGUUGAAUUAAUUCCAUUUAGAACCCCUGUGCUCGAGGUAGACAAGCAAAAUGGGUAGUGCAUCGUGUUAAAGCCUUCAGCCUUGCUUCCUAGAGAAAUAGAUAUAUGUUUCAAUGUCUUGGUGAGGUGUCUUUUGGUGGAUGGGAGCAAGCAGCACUGCAACAGUACCAGAUGGUGUGGGUAUGUUUCAAUUUUUUUUUUUUUUUUGCAUUUUGAGGGUACACUUCCAUCCUUUAGAAAAUUAUUCUCUUUUUGGAGAUGUUUCAAUAUCAACUAUUUUAAGAGGGCAGGCCUGGCGCAGUGGUGAAGUCCUCCCCACUUGUGCCAAGAGGUCCUGGGUUCGAACCAGCCUCUCUGCAUUGCACUUUGCAGGGGUAAGACUAGGUUCCUAUAAUCCCUCCCCAGACCCCACCUUGUGUGGGAGCUUCUAUGCACUGGGUCUGUCCUUCAAUAUCAACUAUUUUCAUCUUUUGAUUUCCAUUUAAUCCUGGUUCAGAGAGUGGCCUUUUUGUGCCUGGUAGUGUGGGUAUGUUUCAAUAUUGUCUGCAUUUUGAGGCUGCACUUCCAUCCUUUAGCAAAUUAUUCUCUUAUUCAAGAUGUUUCAAUAUCAACUAUUUUCAUCUUUCUAUUUCCAUUUUAAUCCUGGUUCCGACAGUGGCCUUUUUGUGCCUGUUAUUACACUUGAAUGCUAAAUUGCAAAGUGACACAUGAAUCGUUCUAAAGGACUGAUGGUGAUGUUUUCAUAUGGCCAUUCUUACUGGGUGGCUAUUUGCUCGGUCAUUUUUGUAAUCAUGAAAUGUUGAUAGAUGCUGGACAUGCAUAUCGUCCUAGUUAUUUCCAUAGUUUAUUUAAUAGAACAUUUAAGUUAUUUUAAAUAGAGGAAAAAGAUUUCUCCUGGUCCAUUACGUAAGAGUGAGUUUUAUCACAUAGCCCCUUUGUGGGAAAAGAUACAAGAGUUUGCACCCCCAAUCUCUUGUUUGUUGUAUCAAGUUCUUCUGCACCCAUGGUUGCUAAUUUGCUGACAACCCAUUCGUUCUAUAUGGUUGUUGACAAAAGGUGGUUAUCUGCACUGCCAUUGUUCAUGAAAAUUAUGUCAUACCAGGUUCUGAUAUUUAGCAUGCAUCGUUUAUAUUCUGAAAACAUGUGUUCUUUGUCCUUUCAAUAACUAACUUAAAUACUCCCUCCGUUCCUAAAUACUUGUCUUUCUAGUCAUUUCAACAAGUGACUACAUACGGAGCAAAAUGAGUGAAUCUACACUCUAAAAUAUGUCUACAUACAUCCGUAUGUAGUAGUCAUUUGAAAUGUCUAGAAAGACAAAUAUUUAGGAACGGAGGGAGUAUUAUGCAGAGCGUGAGAAAUUAAUGAUGUCAACUUUCUGAUGGGGAAAAAGGAAAACAUGUGCUUCUGUUAUAUGCCCGAAGAUUGUGCUUAAAUGGGAGAGCAUGAAUGUGUUUCAUUAAGCUGCCUUGGCCCCAGGUGUGUUCCAUAUUUCCAUUGUUGUCCCAUUUGCGACUAUCUUACUAUGUGCAGCCUAGGAUUUGGUUGAUCUUCUAUGCAGGCAUAAUCCGGUGAUGCAGUGCAAUGUUUUCAUGUUUCGAUUUCCAUUUUAAUCCUGGUUCAGAGAGUGACCAGUUCAUAAUGCGAAGCUCUACUGUUGAAUUCUAUCCUUCGGUGUUCCUUAGUUCCUUUGACCAUGCCACUCACUGAAAUGAGAGACAUGCUCGUAGUUAAUUUAAUUAUGCCAUCAGUGCUCAUAAACGGUCCAGCUGGGGAAUCCUUCGUUACCUAUACGUUAACGUUGUUCUUUUGUUUUUAUUGUUGUGUGAUACAUAUCCACCUAUGAUGACAAGUAGGUUCCCAAAGUUUUGUAUGGUAGCUGUAAGUUGGCAUCUUCCAAUUGCUGAUGGACCCUAAGUUUGAAUGUUGUACUUACUUGGUUUGUAAGGUCUUACGGUUUCAGUGCUUUAUUUGCUCAUGGAGCUAUGGCUCUGUUACGUUGGGCUAAGGUUUGAUUGCCUGCACGGGUACGGCAAGGUGUAGAUGCAGAUUCAUUGUCGAUGUUGAAUACUGGAGUAAGAAUGAUGAUCAAUGCUCUAAUGAACCUGCAUGCUGCAGCAUUACUAUCAGGAUAUAUGGGUUAGGCACAUACUCUUUUGACAGUGGGUUAACUAAGUGUGGUUUUCAGGUGAAGUUGCCUAUUAGUUUUUUUCAGCUUUCUUGUGUUGACUUCUCUUUUACUGUAAAGCAAAGGCUGGCAGUUAGUAUUCCCUGAUUCAAGAGUUUUUUUUACUUGGAAGAUCGGAACAUUGUCGAUAGAAGAAUGAGUUUUAUAGCAAACUAGGUUCAGACUUGUAUACUAAUUUCAUUUUGCGACACCAUGAUGGUUGUUGGGGUAUAAUUAAGACUUUGUUCCCACUGAACAUGAAAUGCUGGAUGAUGAUGAGAUCAUCUAUGACAGUGAUUGGCGGUGCACUGAUGAUUGUGAGUAUAUAUAUAGAUCACAUUAACACAUUUCUGAUAACUAUAGUUCUAACUCAUUGAUGGAUCCUUCUCUGUGUCUUAUGGCUCUAUGGGCCGAGCAUUCUUAUCUCUAGUUGGACAACACUAGCCUCUAUAGUAACACAUAUGCUCUGAGAUUUUUCUAGGAUCAUUCCUCCCAGGUGAUAACGAACCUGCUCAUAAUGUAGCAUAAGCUAAAUCGAUUCUAGAUUUUCUUUUUUGGCCCACUACAAUAAAAGAUCAUUCAUACUGAGCUUUUUUGUGCUACAACAGAAUUAUGGAUGACUGCUCUAUUUUUGAGAAUUGCUCUAUUUAAUCUUUGACAGUUCGGUCUAUAUAUGUCAUGGGUUUAGCUAUUAGCGUUGUUGAUUGCAACCUUGCGGACCUCCUGCUUAUUGCUUUUCAUUAUUCUUUGUGUAGGUCACAUACACCAACAUCUAAAAUAAAUCCAGCAGGCAGUUGAGAGUUUUUCGGCUGUGAUGAUUACCAAUGCAGAUAGAGCUAUCUAAUCCAGCUUUCGCUUGAUUUUCGUCACUGAGCUACCAACCUUCUUUUUUCCCCUUUCCUAUUACUACAAGUGUAUGAUUUUGGCAUCCACAAGGUUAAUCUCAAGUCACUACACAAAAAGAAGUUGUGCUAGAGACGGCAAUACCGUACUUCAAUUCCAUACAUGAGUUUCUACCAUCCGCCGGAAUGGGAAAUUGCAGAAAUAGAGGAAAGGUGAGUCAUUCAGUUGCGGCACGAUCGUUGACGAUGUAGGAUUGAAUAUGGUUAAGGGCAGGAUGCCGCUUUCAUCAACAGAAAAGAUUACCAGACCACUUGGAGUUGGAGGUGACAUGAGCCUUGUGAUCAAUUCUGCCGGUAUUCAGUAGCUUUUUUAGCGGUGCUUGUUGGCUUUUGGUAGCAUGCUUGAUAAUUUCCCCGUGUUAGCAUGCGUAAGCGGGUGAAUGGAUUAUCUUGUAAUGAGGAACUUCUAGUUUCUUGAAGCAGCAACAAUCAUGUCCUCCUUUGUUGAAUUUGCUAGAGAAUGCAUAGUUUGGUCAGUUUGCUAUUUUACAAACUCUACAGUUUGCUUCCCAAUUUUUAUCCAGUUUUUGGAUUCAUCUCCCAUAAGGGGUACCAUUGCUUAGUUUUUGCAUGGUGGC